UACGUAGGGUGCAAGCGUUGUCCGGAAUUAUUGGGCGUAAAGAGCUCGUAGGCGGUCUGUCGCGUCGGAUGUGAAAACCCAGGGCUCAACCCUGGGCCUGCAUUCGAUACGGGCAGACUAGAGUUCGGUAGGGGGGACGUGGAAUUCCUGGUGUAGCGGUGAAAUGCGCAGAUAUCAGGAGGAACACCGGUGGCGAAGGCGGGUCUCUGGGCCGAAACUGACGCUGAGGAGCGAAAGCGUGGGGAGCAAACAGG
rnacentral:rRNA from 1 species